rnacentral:rRNA from 2 species
GACGAACGCUGGCGGCGCGCCUAACACAUGCAAGUCGAACGGGAUUUACAGACGGAAGCUUCGGUGGAAGACUGUAAUAUCUAGUGGCGGACGGGUGAGUAACACGUGAGCAACCUACCCUGGAGUGGGGAACAACAUUCGGAAACGGAUGCUAAUACCGCAUGAUGUUAAUGGAAGGCAUCUUCUGUUAACCAAAGAUUUAUCGCUCUGGGAUGGGCUCGCGCCUGAUUAGCUAGUUGGUAAGGUAAUGGCUUACCAAGGCGACGAUCAGUAGCCGGACUGAGAGGUCGAUCGGCCACAUUGGGACUGAGACACGGCCCAGACUCCUACGGGAGGCAGCAGUGGGGGAUAUUGCACAAUGGGGGAAACCCUGAUGCAGCGAUGCCGCGUGAGGGAAGAAGGUUUUCGGAUUGUAAACCUCUGUCUUUAGGGAAGAAACAAAUGACGGUACCUAAGGAGGAAGCCACGGCUAACUAU